rnacentral:rRNA from 1 species
GCACAAGCGGUGGAUGAUGUGGAUUAAUUCGAUGCAACGCGAAGAACCUUACUACCCUUGACAUGUCCGGAACUUGCCAGAGAUGGCUUGGUGCCCGAAAGGGAAUCGGAACACAGGUGCUGCAUGGCUGUCGUCAGCUCGUGUCGUGAGAUGUUGGGUUAAGUCCCGCAACGAGCGCAACCCUUAUCAUUAGUUGCUACGCAAGGGCACUCUAAUGAGACUGCCGGUGACAAACCGGAGGAAGGUGGGGAUGACGUCAAGUCCUCAUGGCCCUUAUGGGUAGGGCUUCACACGUCAUACAAUGGUCGGUACAGAGGGUUGCCAAGCCGCGAGGCGGAGCCAAUCCCACAAAGCCGAUCGUAGUCCGGAUUGUUCUCUGCAACUCGAGAGCAUGAAGUCGGAAUCGCUAGUAAUCGCAGGUCAGCAUACUGCGGUGAAUACGUUCCCGGGUCUU